AGUCGACAAACAGGUAAGGAAAGGAGAAGGUGAUAAGAAGAAAUUAUCACAUGGAGAAUUGAGAUGGCUCUCACAAGGAAGGACAAUCCUCUAGCGUCCCCCUGGUCCUAAAGCCUGCCAUCAGCUUUUAAUUUCAAUUGAAAGUCCGCAUUUGACCGCACAAGAUCACCCUUCUUGGAUGUACCAGUCAUUGUGUGACGGCAGCAGGCCGAGGGGUGAAAGUUCAUCUCAACAUGCGUCCUUCUCUUUGAUCCCCUCUCCACCCACGUCCCCCUCCUUUGAGGUGAUCAACAAGGGCGGCGGCCAUGUUGAGAGGUUAAGAGCUGUUUUAUUGGGCAGGGUGAACUCUGGCCUGUAGGUCACAGAGGACAAAACAAACACAUGUUCAGCUUCAAGGGAGACUCAAUCACUGGGUUGGUAAGUUUUAGUGUGUCAUUGUGCAUGUGUAUGAAUAUGCGCAGAUGCAUGUGUAUAUAUGUUUGCGUGUCUGCAAGUGUUUGAGUUCAUUGAAGGCAUUUGAACUUUUGCUCUCUGCUCAAGAUUAGUGCAAGCAGCCUGAAACAUGAAGGUCACAUGAAGGUCACACACUUGAUCCGCUCAGUGAUCACUAAGCAGUGCUCACAAACCGACAAACACCCCAUUCACCACUACACAGACUAAUGCUACUGUUAACCUCUUUCCUUUCUUUCCCUAGAGGAGGAGAUGUGGCAAGCUAGCAAAGAAUUGGAAGGUGAGGAACACCAGAGAAUAAGGCCUUUGUGUGUAUCACCACCUUAAAAUAAUGGCCUCCAAAGUCAUAUUUCGACAAAAACAUAUUUGGGGGGUUUAAGCGAUGAUGUUAGUCGCCUUGUGCUAAAAUCAGUGACAUCCUAAGUUAAACAGAUCACUUCUUCCCUUGUAAUGAAAUUGUCGAUAAUUAUAAUAUGAUCCGUAUUUGGUUCAUCUUUUCGUGUUUGUGAAAAAAAAAAAAAACAGAAUUUUUUUUUUUAGGAGGACUCGCACCACAAACAUAUAUACUGAUAAAUCUGCAUAACUUCAGUGUAUUUUCAGAGUGUACAUUUUUUUCUUUAAUUUGCCAUUAUGUCUUGGGCUUCAGGGGCUUUACUGGAACUACGGCUGAAUCUCCACCUCUAAAGAAAAUCAAGACAGUAGUUUGACAACUACUGGGCAGAAGACUAACAAAGCCGACGGAAGGCAACUGAGAGGAUUCGGAAGUGACACCGAAUGAAUAGGAUUUCUGCUCAACAGUGUCUGUUUGCUAUGAGAGGGGAGAAGCUGAAAAUGACAACGCUUCCCAGAGGAAUUUCAUCACUCUUUACCGGGGAUGCUUCUGAGUGACUUUUGGUGGUUCGUGUUCAGAACUCCUAAAUCAGUUUUCACUGGCAUGUGCACACUUUCCGUUCCCCAACCCCCCCCAA